CCACUAAAAGAUAAAUUCCGACGAAACAAAAAUGGAGAGUACGAAACCAGAACCAUAUAUGAAAAGGGUAACAUUGAAAUUGAAUAGGUCCAAAGUAAAAUCCAGUGGCGGUGGUGAUGCUUCUGAAAGCAUCCUCGUUUAUAUCCAACUUAGAAGCACAUGCCUCACAGGAAUUGUUCGUUCUUGGAUCAUCACAAACACCAGAGUCACUCCAACACACCCAGGUGGCUACAACUUAGACAGAUGCCUUAACUAUGUUCAUCAUUAGUAGUGGUCUGUGGGUCCCACCACACAAGUUUAUUACCAAAAUUUUGUUCUAGUAUGUGUUUUGGACCAAGACAAUGUUUGGUUUUGCUUUACCCUCUUUCACACACCAUCACAAAAACAAGAAAAAAAAAAAAAAAAAAAAAAACCCACAUGCAUAUAAUUGCAUACAUACCUAUACACGUAUGUAUAAAAAGCCUUAACACAACCACAAACCUAUCCCAAAAGAAUCUUUUCCAAAAUGCCCUUUAUGCCAAACUCCAAAAGGCGUUUACUUAUGCACCACUUUUUUUCUUCUCUCUUUCUUUUCUUCUACAAUAAUGGUACACACACAUCAUAUAUAUGACCCCUAGAUUCUUUUCUUUUUGAACUCUUAACUUGAGAAAGAGUCAUAUAUUUAUAUAAUAAUAUUGCAUAUUAUUAAGUAAAGGGGAAGAAGAGUUUUGAGGAGGAAAAAGAAUUGAAGAAACAAAUUAAUGUGUUACCCGGGAGAUCCUUAUGUUAGCCAAGAAGGGCUUGAUGUGGUGCAUAGAAGAUGGGUUGUUUUCCAGGUGGAAACCGCCGCAAGGCAUGCACAAAGGGCAAUGAUGACGACUACACAGGCUCGUGGCGGCGACAGCUCCGGAGAGAAUGGCCUUAUGAAGCGAUGCGUGUGCUCGCCGUCGCAGCAUCCGGGGUCAUUCCGGUGCAGGCAGCAUCAUGCAGAGUAUGUGUGGCGUGGCAGAACAAAUUAAGUGAUGGUUGAACAUUGAUCUAUAAGAUGUAUUUAAUUCCAGUUAGUACAUACAUGAAUGUUAUAAUAUAUUUAUAAUAGGCAUGCUUAUAAAAUGUUAUAUAUUUCCCCUUCUUUUCAGGAUUGUGUGUGAUAUAAUGAUCACAAAGUUUGUUACGAUACUAGUGUUUUCUCUUUUUAUUGGAAGAGAUGAUACUAGUUUAUGCAACUGGGGGGUUCUUUAAGUUCUUUAUAUAUACUGUUGUGCUAAAAUGGAGCAAUACUAUGGAUAUGGGCUCAAAAGGGAAAGAUUAUUGUGAAUUUUUUGUUAUUUAGGUUUAUGAUGACUGCAGAAACCAUUCGACAAUUCUUUGUUUUUUCCUCUGACUAAUAAGGAUGUUACUUUCUGAAACGAGAAAGAUCAAUCGCAGCAUUUAUUAUUAAAAUGCCAUAACUUUUAAGUAAUUUUUGUAAAG
rnacentral:lncRNA from 1 species